rnacentral:rRNA from 1 species
GACAGAGGUGCCAAGCGUUAGGCGGAAUCACUGGGCUUAAAGCGUGUGUAGGCGGAUCGUUAAGUACCUUGUGAAAUCCCACGGCUCAACCGUGGAACUGCUGGGUAUACUGGCGGUCUUGAGCCACCUAGGGGCAACUGGAACAAGCGGUGGAGCGGUGAAAUGCGUAGAUAUCGCUUGGAACGCCAACGGUGAAAACAGGUUGCUGGGGGUGUGCUGACGCUGAGGCGCGAAAGCCAGGGGAGCGAACGGG